UUAUGUUGGCUCACAAACUUGAGGAGAGUUGCAGCUAAUACACCCUAGCAGUUUAUAACAAAUUUAACUAGUCUUGUUCUUUCUACAUAAAAGUAUUCUCUCUUGAAUGGAGUUCCUCAGCCGUAGCCUGCCUUAGCUACAUGCCUGUGUUUGAAAUCAACAAAGCAGUGUCGUGGGACCCUCCUACCUUAUCAGCAGAAGGCUGAGGCAGUAUGUGGCCAGGCAUCAGUUCCACAUCAGAUGGAAGACAGGAGAGAUGGUUUGUCAUGGAGUCCAUUGACUAAAAGACAGGUUGAUACAGAUGUCUGAACUGGGAGAAACAUUUCACUUGGCAUUAAAAUGAUACAA